GACUUUGAUGUGCUGUUGUUGCUGUUUUAAUCCCAUGGUCUACAUGGGUCUUAGUGUCUACAUCUUUGUUCCCUUCCAAGCCUGUCUGUCAUGAUACCCAUUAUCACCACCUGUAUGCCUUUUUUCUCUGGGAAGGCAGAGGCUGAAGGGAGUCGCUGUUGGUAGACCUGUUUCACAAGAAAGGAAGGAAGUUCCUCAAAUGACAGGAGACUGCACCACAUACUUGGCUGGGGAUUGCUGAGAGCCAGACACGGGCUUGGGAAUAGAGUGCCUGAACUCAUCACCCUGGCUGUGCUCACACUCAGUGCUCUCUGGGCUUGCUGUUCCUUCACGGUGCCUGCUGGACCUCAAAAGAUUGGUUUUGCAUCAUGCCAGCGGCUGGACUUGAAAUGGGUACAAAGGAUUAAGGAGCUGCAGCAGCGUUUCAAGAGGUUUCAGAAGUAAACAGACCUCAGAGCCUUGGAUCGACUUGCAGCACUGAAGCUGAGGGCUGGGAGGGGUCUGCUUCCAGAUGCUGUUUCCUCACAUCGAAGACGCUGUGGUGAGGUGGAGGGCACCAAGCAGGUCUGAGGUUCCUGCGACAGAAUACACAGCCAUCCACGGCCCCGCCUGCCACUUGCCUUCCUUACCGCAUCCCUUCCGUGGUGGUAGUAGGGGAGACCCUGGGAGGAUCGGCCUUCCUUCUGCUCCUUUCCAGUAGAAAUCAACAGGCCUCCCACAAUAGACGGGCCCCAGGCAUUCACGAACACAGAAAAGCACUCAACCAUACCGAAGUAUCCGAAUCUGUAUGCAGCAGAAGGAUUUGUGCCGGUGAAUAAACAAAACGGAAAGACCGAUGCUAUGUAGUCCUUUCAAGUUACACUCAGUGCCCUUUGUCCAUCUGAAACUGAAGACACAGGGGAUCUGUUGAAGUACGUGAGGGCGACUGAGGGACACUUGGAGACUGGGCCACAGCAGUGUUUUCUAUAACAAACCACGAUCCUGCACUGUUUUCUGUGGAAGCUUCUGGAACAGCUGUGGGAGCUUGGCAGGGCCUAACACAAAGGUUUUAUGGCAGCUGUUUUGUUCUGUCCAAACUUCUUCUUGCCUAACCCUUCCCCUGACUUCAGGCGACAUUCUUUCUCUCUCAGGAAGAGCAAAUGCUUGUACUAAAGGGCACCAUCUAUUCUCUCUCUCUCUCUCUCUCUCUCUCUCUCUCUCUCUCUCUCCUUUUGCAUUAGUGUGUUCACACAUGCAUGUGUCUUCCCAUGUCUCGUACACAUGUGCGUGUGUGUGGAAAAAGGUUAAUGUCUGGUAUCUUCCCGGAUAGCUCUCCAACUUACACCUUUAGGCAGUUUCCGACUUGAAGCCAGAGCUCACCCGUUCCCUAGUCUGUGCAGGGGAUCCAGUCUCACCUCCUGAGUGCUGGCAUGCCAGGUGUGAGUUCACGGAGGCGCUGGGCGUCCAAACGCUGGUCCUCACACUGGCACGGCAAGUGCUGUACUCACAGAGCCGUUUCCCCAGCCCAAACCCACCUUUGGGAAGGCAUUAAUAGUAUCUUAUUACAAACAAGUGCUGGGCGUGGAUGUUACAAGCUUGGUAUCUUGCUUGUCUGGCAUGAUGAGGCCCUGGGAUCAAUCACUAGCACCACGUGAAGCAGGCGUGGUGGUGCAUGUAUGCCUGCAAUCCCAGGAGUUUAAGGUCAUCCUCAGCCAUGUAUUAAGUUUAGAGCCAGCUACAUGAGAUCAGCAUGUUCUCUCUCUCUCUCUCUCUCUCUCUCUCUCUCUCUCUCCCUCUCUCUCUCUCAAAAAAAAAAGCAUCCAGGUGUAUGUGGUACACUCUUGCUGUUACCCCAACACUGUGAAGACUAAAGCAGGCAGGUUGCUAGUUAAGAACCAGCCUGGACCACUCCUUCUCAAAAUGGAUGACUGAAAAUACUAAUUAUGUAUUUAUUUAAGGGGUAUAAUAUGAUUUUGCUAUAUGGAUUCAUUGUGGAGGAGUAAAUUGGCUUAUUUAUCACCUCACCUCACCUAAACGUGUCUGUGUGUGUCAUAAGAACGCUGAAAUCUAUUCCAGCUGGUGGGAAUGUCACUCGGUGGGAGAACACUUGCCUGGCAUGUGUGUGGUCAUGGGAUUAGU